rnacentral:rRNA from 1 species
GUCGUAACAAGGUUUCCGUAGGUGAACCUGCGGAAGGAUCAUUCGCACGUAUCCAAUCAAACAACUGUGAACUACUCUGCGUGAGCUUUUGCAUGGGGAUGGCGAGUAACACUCCUGCUCCCAUCUGAAAGCUCAAGGGUAGGCGACGUAAGGAUCGGACCGUCUUCCCUUCCUGUUCCGCCUACCAGGUUGUCUUGAUCCACAGUCAAGAAAUGUUAUUUCAUGCGUGGCUUCGCCCAUGCACGUGCUUUUUACAACUUUCAGCGACGGAUGUCUCGGCUCGAACAACGAUGAAGGGCGCAGCGAAGUGUGAUAAACAUUGUGAAUUGCAGAAUUCCGUGAACCAAUAGGUACUUGAACGUAUACUGCGCUUUCGGGAUAUCCCUGAAAGCAUGCCUGCUUCAGUGACUACUCCUUUUCAUUCCAGCAUUUGUUGCGAGUUUUUGCGCGUUAAGGAGCCUCUUGGCCCGUGACGUGUUAAGUGCAUCCAGCCCCUGUGCGAUGACGAUUGAUUGAGCUUCUCUUCUUUUUGUCUGACCGCUGGGAGCUACUUCUCAAGCCGCGUAGGCGUUCCACCAAAGUCAUGAAGUUAGGUCAGAGAACCCGCUGAAUUUAAGCAUAUAAGUAAGCGGAGGAAAAGAAACUAAAUAGGAUUCCCUCAGUAAUGGCGAAUGAACAGGGAUGAGCUCAGCAUGGAAAUUGGGACCUCUGGUCCUGAAUUGUAGUCUCGAGACGUAUUGCCAACGGAGGCGCAGAUGUAAGCCUCUUGGAAAAGAGCAUCAGUGAGGGUGAGAGUCCCGUUCGUCAUCUGCAGUCCCCCGUGCACGGCGUACGUUCUAAGAGUCACGUUCCUCGGGAUUGGAGCGCAAAGUGGGUGGUAAAUUUCAUCUCAAGCUAAAUAUUGGUUCGAGACCGAUAGCAAACAAGUACCAUGAGGGAAAGGUGAAAAGGACUUUGAAAAGAGAGUUAAAAGUGCCUGAACUCGCUGAAAGGGAAGCGAAUGGAACCAGUGUAUCUUGGUGAGAUUGUUGCGUGCCAAUGUGAUUGCUUUCCGCAGCAGCGCAAGCGUUGUGGGGGGUUUUGAUCUGGACGUGCGCAGUGUUUCUUGCCAUGUGUGUCAACGUCAGUUCCCAUCUGGGGAAAACUCCAAGGACAUGGUAACUCGUCUCAGGGUGAGUGAAUGUGCUUGGCAGAACUUAUUUGGGGACUGAUUAAUGCGUGUUAGGUUUCAGUGUCCUUCGUCUCUGGGUUCUAGUCCCAAGCAUUCGCUAAGACUGGGAUUCAGAUGACUGGGGCAUCUUCCUGACUCAACGACGAUGACUAAAUGGUUCUUUUCGACCCGUCUUGAAACACGGACCAAGGAGUCUAACAUAUGUGCGAGUUCACGGGCGGGUAAACCUGCUUGCGCAAUGAAAGUGACUGCUGGGAUCUUUGCACCAGCAACCGACCAAUCAAUUGAGAGAGGUUUGAGUAUGAGCAUAUCUGUUAGGACCCGAAAGAUGGUGAACUAUGCGUGA